rnacentral:lncRNA from 1 species
UUCAGGUGAGACAAGGCAAAGUGACCCGCCAAGGGAAGUUCAAACCCAACAGCUACGCCUACCGGACAAAGGCGGGCACCGUGCUGCUCCACAAGUCAACGAUCAACAGGUGAGGGGCCCACGGGUGUGAACCGGGGGUGGUGGCUCCAUGCGCUUGGCUUCCCAGCACCACUGAGGACCCUGGCAGUGCCUCAGGCUCGUGUGCCUGUACCGGAGCGUGAAACAUCUCUGGCUGUGCCUGACGAAGCUCUUCCCCUCUGCAGGGAGGCCUCCAAGCUGUACAGCCGCUGGCUAACGUACUUCAUGGCCGUGAAGUCCAACGGCGGCGUGUUUGUGCGGGACUCCUCGCAGGUCCACCCGCUGGCUGUGCUGCUCAUGACCGACACAGACAUCCACGUCCGAGAUGAUGGCUGGCGAGCAACAGUCUCCCUGACAGACAGCGACCUCCUGGUGCUGGAGGGAGACUCCUACACCAUCCGCCUCCUGCGUGAUUUCCGCGUGUCGCUCUCCAAGAUGGUGGAGACGUGCCUGUGCUAUGAGAUGGCAGCCAUCCCCGGGGACCUGCACCACCAGCACAGCCAGCUGCUCGACAUCCUGGUGGAUCUGCUCAAAGGCCCUCCUGGCAGCUUUGGCGCUUAGGCAGAGCUGGAGGAUUGUGUGGGGACUUGUAAUUUGUAUAAAGAUGUUCACAAAUGUUUAUUUAAAUAAAAGUUCUAUUUAUCCCUUGUGAAGUCAUCUCUCUCCAUCCUAGAAGAUUAAUGUUGUCUGAAUCUCCUGCUGUCGGCUCCGUGCAUGGGCACCGUGUAGGAAGAACCAGCGUCGCGCCGCCUGGGACGGACUGCGAGCGCCGAUGGGACCCUGCGGCGAGCCUCGUGGACCCCCCACCUCCUCCGCUCCGACGGUGUCAGUCCCUGAACUGGAACUGGAAAGCAAGGACACGGCUGCUGCCGGCCGUCCUCCGCCCCAUCCCCACAGGGCCGGGCAGGAGCAGCUCUGGUUCGAGAGCUACUCCGGGCUCAAGAGGAGGACGGAUGUCUCGGCUCGCCUGUGCCUGCGCCGGGGGCCGGGCAGAGCGUGGAUGCAGCGGCGCAGGGUGGAGAUCUCCUCCUCGUACCCCUCCGUGCCCCGAGGACGUCGGAGGGGAGGAAGCCCCGAAGGUGCCGGAGGCGACGUUUGUUCCACGCGGGAUCCGAGCCUCACAGCGGGGGCCCUGCCGCCCCACAGCGCGAGCGCAGUCGUGGCGUUAUGAGUGGACCAUAUUUCUGUGGAAGGAGGAUUGUGACAGGCACAGCGUUAAAGGAGAGGUCUGGAGUUUAAUCCCAGCUUUGCCUUGGAUCCCCUGUCAAAUGCAGACAGUGACCUACCUCACAGGGCUGUUGUGAGGCUUCAUUGAUGUUCGUAACGCAUGUGGGACCUCGGGCGGGACAGCGCCACGGAGGAACACGAAGCAGGCGCUGGGGGAACCGAGGGGCUGUGCCCAUGGGGGCGCGGUGCUGGAGGGAGGCGCUGCCACUGCUGUGCCCAGCAGCUGAGCAAACGGCGGUCGCAGGGCCCGGGAAUUCUUUGUUUUUAUUCACCAUUUCUUAUGCUCUUUGUAUCUGAAAUCAAGGCGAGGGGAGCGCCCCAGCUGGGCACGCGGCUGUGCCCUGCUGGGGGAGGAAGGGGCUGAGCUCCUGCAGGUGUGGGCGAUGGCAAAGGGGGGGUCCCGGCCGCGCUGGGGCCGGGGGCUGCCUGCUGCUGGGGCCACCUUUUGGUUCUGCCACUUGUUCUUCUACUAAGAUUUAAUUUACUCGUCAUGGGCUUUAAUUAACGGAGCUGUGCCCCUGCCAUCUGAACUGAGGGACUGCAGCGGGGGGUGCGGGAGCCCCGAGGCUCCAGCGGCCGUGGGCGAAAAGCACAAGGGCAGGGCAGGGGGUGGCGGGGGCUCGGGGCCGCUUCUGCCCUCCUGGAGCCGCCGGCCUCCCGCGGGCCGUCGGAGUCCUGCAGCCUGUGUUCACUCGAAACUUUUCAUCUUCAUUUCACUUGCUUGAGGUUGUCACUAUUAUUUGACCAGUGUUUGUUUCUUUUGGCCUGUAUAAUGGGCAGUAUGUUUUUUUCCCUUCCAGCAGGUUUAAAAAAAAAAAAAGAAAAAAAGAAAAAAAAAAAAAAGAAAAAAAAAGACUAAGCUAUUGUCUAAAUGGUUCAGAACUAGUGUGAUAUUGGGAUACUUCAGUGGCUGUUAUGUGAUACUGGAUCUUUUUACAACAUAGAUUAAAGACAAUAAAAAGGGAUAGAGUAGUAACCGCCUCUGUCCU